rnacentral:rRNA from 1 species
AUUGAACGCUGGCGGCAGGCCUAACACAUGCAAGUCGAGCGGUUGACGGGAGCUUGCUCCCUGAUUCAGCGGCGGACGGGUGAGUAAUGCCUAGGAAUCUGCCUAUUAGUGGGGGACAACGUUUUGAAAGGAACGCUAAUACCGCAUACGUCCUACGGGAGAAAGCAGGGGACCUUCGGGCCUUGCGCUAAUAGAUGAGC